rnacentral:lncRNA from 1 species
CAGUCUGGCGCCAUCUCCCUCCUUGCCUGGAGUCUGAUCUGUCCCGGCCCAGUGUCCUCCAGGACCCUGGCCCCUCAUGCCUCCGUGCUUGCGCGUGUGCCAUUUCCUCUCUCCAGAGGACCUUUCCUGCCUAGGACUCAUGAUUGUCCCCUCCCUGGUAAGCCAUCCCCGACCUUCCAGGCAGAACCUGCUGGCUUCUCCUCAGCACUUUGCAUGGAUUUCUGUCACAGUCCUGGGUGCACUGUGUCGCCCUCUCUAUGUGUCAGCCUCCCGUCCCCUACCGUGGGCUCCUCCAGGGAGGUGUGGACAUUCAUCCUCUUCCAGGCAGCCCUCAGGAAUCCAGGGAGAAGAUAAGGAGGCGGGGCGGGCGGAGGUGGGUGCUCCACACACUCAGAACACUUUCCUCUGCACUUACUUCAUUCUGGUUUUUCUUUUGGGUCCUUGGUGUUUUUAAAUAAACCCUUUCCUGUAGUUUGCUCCCCUUCCAUGGAGGGCUGUUUCGAGCACAGAUCUGCUGGGUGUCUGUAUUUACAAAGAGAAGGGGCCACUCGUGUGUGAGCAGCACCGAGGGACAGAGGUACCUUGCCUGCUUGUGUCCCCUCCAAGUCCUUCUGAUAUUUUCCUUUCCAGCUGUUGCCUAGUUUCCUGGUAUUAAGGAGAAUCAACUCUCUGGAUAAACGUGGUAAAUAUGGCCCAUAGUCCCAUCUUUUUACAGGCAUUUUUUACACCUGGAGCAGCCAGAGGACGCAUGCAUGGCUCUUCGGAAGGUAAUUUAGGGAUCACCCAUGUAAGUUUCCUAAGGAUUUCUUUAACAUGGUUCUUCUGAUUCAGUCCGGCCAAUUAAAUCUAAAUCCACCCCUGAAAGCCAUCUGGUGUGGAUAACAAGCCCACAAAUGAGCAGUCAGCUUUUUGUGCCCUUUAGGGCCUGGGACAACCACGGGAUCUAAAAGGGGCUGGAACUAGAGGUCUUGAGCUCCUGUUCCUAAAAUCAUCUUCAUCCUAUAUCUGCAGCCUUCUCCUGCCACGGCAUGCACCCACACAUGCGAGCCUCCCGGGUACUGUCAUCCUGAAUUCUGAGACCAUCCAGCACUUCCUUUAGUUUUGCCCUGGUGCUGUUGACUUUUGUUUACUGAAGAGUGUGCUGGAGGCAGGACAAGGGACAUGGAAGGCUGCAAUUUAAGAGUCUAAAAGGUUUUAGAAUCCUGAAGGAGGUUUAACAAGCUGAAUUGAAGAAUAAUACCUUUCUCAACUGGAGAGAAUUUACAUGAUUGCAUUAUUGUUAAAAUUAACA